UACGUAGGGUGCAAGCGUUGUCCGGAAUUAUUGGGCGUAAAGAGCUUGUAGGCGGUUUGUCGCGUCUGCUGUGAAAUCUCGGGGCUCAACCCCGAAACUGCACUUGAUACUGCGAUGCUUGAGUACUGGAGAGGAGAUUGGAAUUUACGGUGUAGCAGUGAAAUGCGUAGAUAUCGUAAGGAAGACCAGUGGCGAAGGCGAAUCUCUGGACAGUUACUGACACUGAGGCACGAAGGCCAGGGGAGCAAACGGG
rnacentral:rRNA from 1 species